rnacentral:lncRNA from 1 species
UAACUGUGUUACAGGAGUGUCUACAAGUCCAAUAUUGGAGCAGGAACUGUGGGGCCAGCUUCAUGCAGAUCCUCCUCAGCACACAGCCUUUAAAAAGAGAGGACAGAGUGGGAAGAAAACCAGACAGCACAGAUGAUUUGUUUAAGGCCACAGAAUUCUCCUGAAUCCUAGGCAGACAGCACGGCUCUUCAUGCUGACACCUGGAAAGGCUGGAGGAGCUGGAGGAGCCGGAGUUACUGCUGUAUUGAGCUGAGAUAGAUCUGGUACUCCGGUUAGUCUCCUCUGACCUUGAGGAUGGUUUCCAGAGGCAUUACUGGACAUGUGUUGGGAAGGUGGGGAGAGAUACGUGGUUUAAAUACACAGUCCAGAACCUGCUUCCCUGGUGCAUCUGGCAGCAGUCUGAUUGUACAGAGCCACGGUUUAUUCCGCCCUUGUGUUUCUCUUGAGUGUAAGUUAUGA